rnacentral:rRNA from 1 species
GACGAACGCUGGCGGCGUGCUUAACACAUGCAAGUCGAACGGAAAGGCCCUGCUUUUGUGGGGUGCUCGAGUGGCGAACGGGUGAGUAACACGUGAGUAACCUGCCCUUGACUUUGGGAUAACUUCAGGAAACUGGGGCUAAUACCGGAUAGGAGCUCCUGCUGCAUGGUGGGGGUUGGAAAGUUUCGGCGGUUGGGGAUGGACUCGCGGCUUAUCAGCUUGUUGGUGGGGUAGUGGCUUACCAAGGCUUUGACGGGUAGCCGGCCUGAGAGGGUGAACGGCCACAGUGGGACUGAGAUACGGCCCAGACUCCUACGGGAGGCAGCAGUGGGGAAUAUUGCACAAUGGGCGGAAGCCUGAUGCAGCAACGCCGCGUGCGGGAUGACGGCCUACGGGUUGUAAACCGCUUUCGCCUGUGACGAAGCGUGAGUGACGGUAAUGGGUAAAGAAGCACCGGCUAACUACGUG